UACAGAACACCUCGUUUAAAAAUUUCAGAGGGGAUGCGAGAACCGUUGCGUGACGAAGAAUGGCGAACACUAAACCUGUUCGUUGCUACUCAAGCGUUUGUUAAAAAAUACAAAAUGUUUCUGCGACAAGUGUUUGAAUUGUCUGGGGAAUAUGAAAACAUUGACAGUAUCAUAUGGAUCCAUGAAUCAAAUCACCCAGUCAACAAAACGGAAGUAGUCUUCGAAUCGCUACAA